rnacentral:rRNA from 1 species
AGGUGCGAUCAUACCAGCACUAAUGCACCGGAUCCCAUCAGAACUCCGCAGUUAAGCGUGCUUGGGCGAGAGUAGUACUAGGAUGGGUGACCUCCUGGGAAGUCCUUGUGUUGCACCUCUUU